UCGAGUUACACAACUCCCAAACCCAAACCCAACCAUACCUGUACCGUUCCCUCGGCGGCGUCCCGCUCCGGCGGGGCCCGCCAGAGGACCCAAACCAAACUCUUGAUUACCCUCACGGGGAAUUUCUUCUGAGACAAAAACAAAUAAAUUA
rnacentral:misc_RNA from 1 species